GUACAACAGCCACUAGGCUUUAGUUUGGGGGGAACUAAAUUUUUCAAUCAUUGAAGCAUCUGGACCCUUACUAUCCUAAAAAGUAGUGUACACUUUUGAAAGAAAUUAAAAUGAUAUCUAUGGGAGAUCUACAACUCAUAAACGUAAUACUGUCGUUAGUGCAGAUUAAAAAAAUCCUGUAACAUGUUAAAGGGCAUGUAAUAGAUCUAUUAAAAUCAUUUUAGAAGAAAUACAUUUGCUUAAAUUUGAUAUUACAGCUAAUAAUUUUGACUUGCUUUUAUUUUGAAAGGAUUUAGAGGAAGUCUGUUUGCUUAAUUACUAUAUUAAUAGACUUGGUGGACUAGUCUUGGUGGCUCAGUUGAUAGAAUGUUGACCUGGGAAGCGGAAGGUUCCAGAUUCAAGCUCACCAUAGCACCUAGUGUGUCCUUGAGUAAGACUUUCGCACUAGCUCCCCGGGCGCCGCACUGGUAAUCCACUGCUCCUUCAGAGGAUGGGUUAAAAUCCAGAGAAUAAUUACUUCAAUGUGGGAUCAAUAAUAAUAAUAAUAAUAAUAAUAAUAAUAAUAAUAAUAAUAAUAAUAAUAAUAAUAAAGGCUUUAAUGAGCAACAGAUGUGAAUUAUAUGUUUAUGUAAAGCCUGAAAAUUGUCGCCACACUCACUCUUUCAAAAUGCCACUCCUUCUGCCAUUGUCCCAAGUGUCAGAGAGAAUUUUGGAAAAUGUGGAACUCUCUGCACUUUGAGGCAGAUACAGACUAAAACUAAAAUUGGCAUGCUUUAUAUUGGCCUCAGUAAGAUAUGCGCUAAACCCUACUAUGUCAUAUGUGGUGCAUCAACCAGGUGGUCAGUGAAGGGGUGAGAGGUAAAAGAAAGUAUGGCAUUGACGAUUAUGCAAACAAAGCUUCAUGCAGCCAUUAGAUAUACAGGAAACAUUGUUUAAGUGUUAUUCGUUAGUAUUAUAAACUAAUAGAUUUUUUUCGUGGAAAACUAAAAAAGUUAGUAACUAAAAAAAGAAAAAAAAACAAUUUCAUAUAAUUGUCCUGUUUAAUUGAACACAAAAAGCUAAUUCAUUGUUUUUCUCUUUUUGUUCCCAUGGCUUUGUCUGUGGGGAAAUUGUGUUAACUCCCCCUCAACUACCCUGGUUUUUCAUGGUUGGGUGUUUUAAUUCCUGUCCUGGGAUAUUUUUUUUGUCCAACAGUUUUCUUUUACAACAAUGACAACUACUACUACUACUACUACUACACCUACUCUUGUUUUUAUGUAUAUUUUAGUACACAGGCUCUGUCUCCUCCUGUUUGUCAUUUGUAUUGUUAUAUUUGACUAAAUAACGACUGUAAGGACUGAAUUUCAACUGACUUGGCUGCAGUUGCCAAACAGGGGAAGGCACUCUGUGAGGCACCAGACUCUUUCAGCUGAUCGGGGAAGUGCGCCCUGUGAAGCCCUACACUUUUCGCCAAUCAGGGAAGUGCGCCCUGUGAGGUCCCAGACUUUUCGCCUGUCAGGGAAGUGCGCCCUGUAAGGCACCAGACUUAAGAAUCUGUGGAUCAGGGACGUGAGUCCUUGUGAAGCCUUUACAGUUUGAAAUUGUGGAUCGGGGACGUGAGUCCCUGUGAAGCCUUUACAGUUUGAAAUUGUGGAUCGGGGACGUGAGUCCCUGUGAAGCCUUUACAGUUUGAAAUUGUGGAUCGGGGACGUGAGUCCCUGUGAAGCCUUUACAGUU